CAUGAAUUGUCAUGGCGCCGGAACAAAGAGGUAAAGGGAAGGAAAUGAGGCCUUCACAGGGGGAGACACUUCAGUAGUGUCCGGGCGCAGGUCCUUCAUCAGAUCUGGUUCUGGAGGACCCAGAUGAUUUUACUGGGGUCCCGGAGGAGUAUCAUGAUUUGCGGGUGGUUUUCAUCUGUUC